CUAAUAUACAAAAAGGAAUCGGUUUCAGGCGAAUUCGACUCUUUACUGUUCGUUUAAAGGAGCCGAUUCACCGAGCUGACUCGACUGCAAACAAGCACCGUCACCACCACAGGCAUCGUCUGCGUUUGAACUGUCGUCUCUUCAUUCAACGGAUUCAUCUGCGGUGUACCUGAGAGUCCUGAGUGUUACUGUAUAGCUGAAGUGUGAGCCACAGCCACUGAUGCUACCAAGCACACCUCGCUUGAUUAUUCAAGUCUUAUUCCUUGGAGGGUCAAGUGGUCAUGGGACCUCACCUGGAUUUCACAACUGACU